rnacentral:lncRNA from 1 species
UUUCUUCUCUAGGCAAAGUUCCACAAAAGUAAGUGAUGCACCAAACUAAGUUACUACAUUGUUAAAUGCUUUGCUCAUAUCGUCGUACCAAAUUAAAGUUUGUGGCCACAUCACUUAUCUUAUUAUAUGUACAUGCUCUUGUGGUUUCUAUAUAUAAUGAUGGGGUUAAAAGUGAUAUAUAUGUUUUUGUUCCACAUGCAGCGCAACAGCCAUUAAAGAGGAAGACGACCCACAAAAUGACCGACGCUGUGGAACCCUAUGCAAAAGUUUCAUUCACUAUUAGCCUCUUAAUAACCCUCGUUUUCUUUCUAAGCUACACUUUUAAAAGAAAGUCUCUCACAAAGCCAUUGCAUAUACCCGUCCAUUAUCAGCUGCCCAUUGCCCAAUACCCCUUCCUUAUUUUCCAAAAGAUAAAAGGAAAAAAACUAAAGGAAGAAAACUCCCUCCUCUUUCCUCUCCCAUUAUUAUGCCUAAAUUUUGUCUAUUUCCAAUCUGCUUUUAUUUUGAUAGUGAAACAUGCGUUUUUAGUCAUUUUUGUCAUGACUCGAC